UUAAGCGACUAAGCGUACACGGUGGAUGCCCUGGCAGUCAGAGGCGAUGAAGGACGUGCUAAUCUGCGAAAAGCGUCGGUAAGGUGAUAUGAACCGUUAUAACCGGCGAUGUCCGAAUGGGGAAACCCAGUGCAAUUCGUUGCACUAUCGUUAACUGAAUACAUAGGUUAACGAGGCGAACCGGGGGAACUGAAACAUCUAAGUACCCCGAGGAAAAGAAAUCAACCGAGAUUCCCCCAGUAGCGGCGAGCGAACGGGGAGCAGCCCAGAGUCUGAAUCAGCUUGUGUGUUAGUGGAACGGUCUGGAAAGUCCGACGGUACAGGGUGAUAGUCCCGUACACCAAAAUGCACAGGCUGUGAACUCGAAGAGUAGGGCGGGACACGUGGUAUCCUGUCUGAAUAUGGGGGGACCAUCCUCCAAGGCUAAAUACUCCUGACUGACCGAUAGUGAACCAGUACCGUGAGGGAAAGGCGAAAAGAACCCCGGCGAGGGGAGUGAAAAAGAACCUGAAACCGUGUACGUACAAGCAGUGGGAGCACCUUCGGGUGUGACUGCGUACCUUUUGUAUAAUGGGUCAGCGACUUAUAUUCUGUAGCAAGGUUAACCGUAUAGGGGAGCCGCAGGGAAACCGAGUCUUAACUGGGCGUUAAGUUGCAGGGUAUAGACCCGAAACCCGGUGAUCUAGCCAUGGGCAGGUUGAAGGUUGGGUAACACUAACUGGAGGACCGAACCGACUAAUGUUGAAAAAUUAGCGGAUGACUUGUGGCUGGGGGUGAAAGGCCAAUCAAACCGGGAGAUAGCUGGUUCUCCCCGAAAGCUAUUUAGGUAGCGCCUCGUGAACUCAUCUUCGGGGGUAGAGCACUGUUUCGGCUAGGGGGUCAUCCCGACUUACCAACCCGAUGCAAACUACGAAUACCGAAGAAUGUUAUCACGGGAGACACACGGCGGGUGCUAACGUCCGUCGUGAAGAGGGAAACAACCCAGACCGCCAGCUAAGGUCCCAAAGUCAUGGUUAAGUGGGAAACGAUGUGGGAAGGCNAAAGAAAUCAACCGAGAUUCCCCCAGUAGCGGCGAGCGAACGGGGAGCAGCCCAGAGUCUGAAUCAGCUUGUGUGUUAGUGGAACGGUCUGGAAAGUCCGACGGUACAGGGUGAUAGUCCCGUACACCAAAAUGCACAGGCUGUGAACUCGAAGAGUAGGGCGGGACACGUGGUAUCCUGUCUGAAUAUGGGGGGACCAUCCUCCAAGGCUAAAUACUCCUGACUGACCGAUAGUGAACCAGUACCGUGAGGGAAAGGCGAAAAGAACCCCGGCGAGGGGAGUGAAAAAGAACCUGAAACCGUGUACGUACAAGCAGUGGGAGCACCUUCGGGUGUGACUGCGUACCUUUUGUAUAAUGGGUCAGCGACUUAUAUUCUGUAGCAAGGUUAACCGUAUAGGGGAGCCGCAGGGAAACCGAGUCUUAACUGGGCGUUAAGUUGCAGGGUAUAGACCCGAAACCCGGUGAUCUAGCCAUGGGCAGGUUGAAGGUUGGGUAACACUAACUGGAGGACCGAACCGACUAAUGUUGAAAAAUUAGCGGAUGACUUGUGGCUGGGGGUGAAAGGCCAAUCAAACCGGGAGAUAGCUGGUUCUCCCCGAAAGCUAUUUAGGUAGCGCCUCGUGAACUCAUCUUCGGGGGUAGAGCACUGUUUCGGCUAGGGGGUCAUCCCGACUUACCAACCCGAUGCAAACUACGAAUACCGAAGAAUGUUAUCACGGGAGACACACGGCGGGUGCUAACGUCCGUCGUGAAGAGGGAAACAACCCAGACCGCCAGCUAAGGUCCCAAAGUCAUGGUUAAGUGGGAAACGAUGUGGGAAGGCACAGACAGCCAGGAUGUUGGCUUAGAAGCAGCCAUCAUUUAAAGAAAGCGUAAUAGCUCACUGGUCGAGUCGGCCUGCGCGGAAGAUGUAACGGGGCUAAACCAUGCACCGAAGCUGCGGCAGCGACACUAUGUGUUGUUGGGUAGGGGAGCGUUCUGUAAGCCUGCGAAGGUGACCUGUGAGGGUUGCUGGAGGUAUCAGAAGUGCGAAUGCUGACAUAAGUAACGAUAAAGCGGGUGAAAAGCCCGCUCGCCGGAAGACCAAGGGUUCCUGUCCAACGUUAAUCGGGGCAGGGUGAGUCGACCCCUAAGGCGAGGCCGAAAGGCGUAGUCGAUGGGAAACAGGUUAAUAUUCCUGUACUUGGUGUUACUGCGAAGGGGGGACGGAGAAGGCUAUGUUAGCCGGGCGACGGUUGUCCCGGUUUAAGCAUGUAGGCUGGUUGUCCAGGCAAAUCCGGAUAAUCAAGGCUGAGGUGUGAUGACGAGGCACUACGGUGCUGAAGUAACAAAUGCCCUGCUUCCAGGAAAAGCCUCUAAGCAUCAGGUAACAUCAAAUCGUACCCCAAACCGACACAGGUGGUCAGGUAGAGAAUACCAAGGCGCUUGAGAGAACUCGGGUGAAGGAACUAGGCAAAAUGGUGCCGUAACUUCGGGAGAAGGCACGCUGGUGUGUAGGUGAAGCCCCUGCGGGUGGAGCUGAGACCAGUCGAAGAUACCAGCUGGCUGCAACUGUUUAUUAAAAACACAGCACUGUGCAAACACGAAAGUGGACGUAUACGGUGUGACGCCUGCCCGGUGCCGGAAGGUUAAUUGAUGGGGUUAUCCGUAAGGAGAAGCUCUUGAUCGAAGCCCCGGUAAACGGCGGCCGUAACUAUAACGGUCCUAAGGUAGCGAAAUUCCUUGUCGGGUAAGUUCCGACCUGCACGAAUGGCGUAAUGAUGGCCAGGCUGUCUCCACCCGAGACUCAGUGAAAUUGAACUCGCUGUGAAGAUGCAGUGUACCCGCGGCAAGACGGAAAGACCCCGUGAACCUUUACUAUAGCUUGACACUGAACAUUGAGCCUUGAUGUGUAGGAUAGGUGGGAGGCUUUGAAGCGUGGACGCCAGUCUGCGUGGAGCCAACCUUGAAAUACCACCCUUUAAUGUUUGAUGUUCUAACGUUGGCCCCUGACCGGGGUUGCGGACAGUGUCUGGUGGGUAGUUUGACUGGGGCGGUCUCCUCCCAAAGCGUAACGGAGGAGCACGAAGGUUAGCUAAUCCUGGUCGGACAUCAGGAGGUUAGUGCAAUGGCAUAAGCUAGCUUGACUGCGAGCGUGACGGCGCGAGCAGGUGCGAAAGCAGGUCAUAGUGAUCCGGUGGUUCUGAAUGGAAGGGCCAUCGCUCAACGGAUAAAAGGUACUCCGGGGAUAACAGGCUGAUACCGCCCAAGAGUUCAUAUCGACGGCGGUGUUUGGCACCUCGAUGUCGGCUCAUCACAUCCUGGGGCUGAAGUAGGUCCCAAGGGUAUGGCUGUUCGCCAUUUAAAGUGGUACGCGAGCUGGGUUUAGAACGUCGUGAGACAGUUCGGUCCCUAUCUGCCGUGGGCGCUGGAGAAUUGAGGGGGGCUGCUCCUAGUACGAGAGGACCGGAGUGGACGCAUCACUGGUGUUCGGGUUGUCAUGCCAAUGGCACUGCCCGGUAGCUAAAUGCGGAAGAGAUAAGUGCUGAAAGCAUCUAAGCACGAAACUUACCCCGAGAUGAGUUCUCCCUGAGACUUUAAGUCUCCUGAAGGAACGUUGAAGACGACGACGUUGAUAGGCCGGGUGUGUAAGCGCAGCGAUGCGUUGAGCUAACCGGUACUAAUGAACCGUGAGGCUUAACCUU
rnacentral:rRNA from 1 species